UACGUAGGGUGCAAGCGUUGUCCGGAAUUAUUGGGCGUAAAGAGCUCGUAGGCGGCUUGUCGCGUCGGCUGUGAAAACCGUGGGGCUCAACCCCGGGCCUGCAGCCGAUACGGGCAAGCUAGAAUUCGGUAGGGGAGACUGGAAUUCCUGGUGUAGUGGUGAAAUGCGUAGAGAUCAGGAGGAACACCGGUGGCGAAGGCGGGCCAC
rnacentral:rRNA from 1 species